GGGGAUAUAGCUCAGUGGAGAGCGCAUGCUUAGCACGCAGGAGGUCCUGGGUUCAAUUCCCAGUUCCCCCC
rnacentral:tRNA from 1 species